rnacentral:misc_RNA from 1 species
GAUGAAGAACGUAGCGAAAUGCGAUAAGUAGUGUGAAUUGCAGAAUUCAGUGAAUCAUCGAAUCUUUGAACGCACAUUGCGCCCCUUGGUAUCCCGAGGGGCAUGCCUGUUCGAGCGUCAUUUCACCACUCAAGCCUGGCUUGGUGUUGGGCAACGUCCCCUUUGGGGACGCGCCUCGAAACGCUCGGCGGCGUGGCACCGGCUUUAAGCGUAGCAGAAUCUUUCGCUUUGGAAGUCGGGGCCCCGUCUGCCGGAAGACCUACUCGCAAGGUUGACCUCGGAUCAGGCAGGGAUACCCGCUGAACUUAAGCAUAUCAAUAAGCGGAGGA